rnacentral:rRNA from 1 species
AACGAACGCUGGCGGCAUGCCUAACACAUGCAAGUCGAACGAAGGCUUCGGCCUUAGUGGCGCACGGGUGCGUAACCCGUGGGAAUCUGCCCUUGGGUUCGGAAUAACUCAGAGAAAUUUGAGCUAAUACCGGAUGAUGUCGCAAGACCAAAGAUUUAUCGCCCAAGGAUGAGCCCGCGUAGGAUUAGCUUGUUGGUGAGGUAAAAGCUCACCAAGGCGACGAUCCUUAGCUGGUCUGAGAGGAUGAUCAGCCACACUGGGACUGAGACACGGCCCAGACUCCUACGGGAGGCAGCAGUGGGGAAGAUUGGACAAUGGGCGAAAGCCUGAUCCAGCAAUGCCGCGUGAGUGAUGAAGGCCUUAGGGUUGUAAAGCUCUUUUACCCGGGAUGAUAAUGACAGUACCGGGAGAAUAAGCUCCGGCUAACUCCGUGCCAGCCGCCGCGUAA